rnacentral:rRNA from 2 species
UACAGAGGUCUCAACCGUUGUUCGGAUUCAUUGGGCGUAAAGGGUGCGUAGGCGGUCUGGCAAGUCGGAUGUGAAAUCUCAGGGCUCAACCCUGAAACUGCAUUCGAUACUGCUAGGCUUGAGUACUGGAGGGGAGACUGGAAUUUACGGUGUAGCAGUGAAAUGCGUAGAUAUCGUAAGGAAGACCAGUGGCGAAGGCGAGUCUCUGGACAGUUACUGACGCUGAGGCACGAAGGCCAGGGGAGCAAACGGG